GGAUCUGGCUGUGUUUUUUUCUCAAGAGGAGUGUGUGUGUCUGCACUCUGUCCAGAGGUCCCUCAGCAGAGACACUACACAGGAGUGUUUCGAGGAGAUGGCCUUGAUGGUGGUUUUACAUGGCAGCGAAUUUUGAAAACUGGCGGGAUUGUGGUUUGGAGUGUGAACGAGUGACUUCGAGCCACGUAAUAAUGGAGGUAAAAAUCGUAAAGAAAAAUUCCAGCGCGAACCGUGGGACCGCCCUGGACUUCGAUGUCCCCUCCCGCCGCGGCGGUCCGGAGUCCGGCACCUCCGACCGCGCAACCAGGGGAGUGCCCUCGUGCUGCCCGCCCAGCGCCGGGGGUACCAGCCGCCCUCGCGCGGUUCGGCUCCCAGGGCCUCUGCGCGUUCCAGGAGCGCAGGCCGGCGGGAAUGCCAGCGAGAUGAGACGCGCUAGAGCGGCCCGCCGGGCUGGGAACAGGAAGUCGCGCGCUCACUUCCGGUGCCCUCUUCGGGUGGCGCGGCUGCGCGCUCCCGGGGCGGCCGUGGCGCGAAUUGUGGCGGUUAUCAGCCGGCUGUCCUGGCGGGGCCCCUGACCCACCCCCGUAACUCCACCGCGGGGUGGUCUUCGCAGAAAUUGGGCCGCGGCCCGGGAGAGUUUGCUACGGGUCCCUCAGGUCUUGCCCUCCGCGCCACGGGUGUGACUGUCUGGGACCGAACGAUUCUCUGCCCCGCGACUCCAGGCACCGACCGCCCCGAGGGCAGGAGGAGCCCGUGCUACCUCCCCGGCCCGAGCCCUGCUUUGACAGUGCGAAACCGCGGGCACGCCUUGCUCGCGGGCCUUUGGCUUGUAGGAAGGGACGUUUUGUGCUUCUCUCUAGACCCGGCGCCAGUCUCCGUCUGCUUUCUGUGUGCCCCGCAGCCGAAUUCUAACGUGCUUCUGUUACUUAGAGUAUCCUGGGCUCACCUGACUCCGGGGCCCCCCCCCCCCCCCGCCGCCAAGCGAGCUUCUCCACUCCUAUGACUGCGAAGACGUCGCUUUAUGUGUAGCCCAGAUUUCUUCUCUCCCUGCGCUCCAGAUCCCUAUAUUCACGUGUCUGUGAGACAUCUUCCUUUGGAUGUCUCCGACACAUCAAAGCACAUGCCUUACCCUGAACUCAGGCUUUUUAGUCCUUGAUCUGUUUGCCUCCAGUAUGUGGCGCCGCACACACACAAUUGCUCACACUACCAACACACUCCCUUUCUCCACUCGCGCAUUCCAUCAUCAAGUUCUGGGGAUUCUACCUCAGAAUUGUCUCUCAGACCUGACUGAUUCUCUGUGUUUCCACUGGCUCCACCUUUAACUACUGGCUGAGGUCGACGGAAAUAGCCCUCUGACCUCUCACAUCACUGGGUCUCUGCCAGCACAGCCAACACCUCCGAUCAUGUCACCAUCCAACUUGACAUCUAGAUCCACUGGCUUCUCAUCGUCCUUAGGGUAACAUCCAAAAUAGUCAAUGCAACCUUCCUAACCAUUACUGCCCUGCCAACUGCAGCCACUUUCUUUAUUCUCUCUCUCUCUCUCUCUCUCUCUCUCUCUCUCUCUCUCUCUCCAACUGCACUUUCAGUUCAAAUACACCAAGCUCUACUUCUUAAGAAUUCUUAACACACUUUUUCUUUUAGCAGUAACCACCCCCCAUCCCUACCUACCAUUACCAAAUUGAAUAGUAAUUAUAUAUCGGAUGUUUUAAUGUCUGUGGGGGCAGGGACCAGACACAUGGCAAGUGCUUAAAAUUGUGCAUAAAGAAGGACAUUUCUGUGGCUCUGCUACUUUUACACUGUUGAUAACAGCUACAAGACUGACUGGAAGAAAGUGGUGUUGUCAGUUCAAGUAGGCAGGAGGUUUAACAGUGGCCGAGAAAAGCUGUAAGGAAUUUAGCAAAAAGCUUACUAAGCUAGUUCUCAGGAUAAAAUGUUAAAGAUGUUCUAUUGCCUGGCAAGAAUAAUUCAGCAAAGAUGCACAACUGCUACAAGCCACAUUUGAAGGAAGUGAGGUAAAUGUGGUUUGAAUUUCAAAUAGAAUUGUGUUCGGCACAAACAGAGAGGGAAACACGAAAGAGCUGGGUCUGUGUCCUACUGCCUUGAACCUUUCGGGACUAAAGCCUUAGUGAUUAAAAUAGCUCAGAUCACAGGCACAGAGGGAUCCGGCCGAUGACAUUUCAUUUCCUGUACCGUUCCCAUCCUGGAAGAGCCCCUGAGUUGGGGAGGAGUAAGCACCCAAGUUGGCAGGCAGAAUGGUCCUACACUUGCAGGCUAGACUGCCCAGGAAAUUACCAGAAGGGGAACUGCUGUCACCCUGACAACCCUGGAACAAAAAGGAACUUGGCCAGCAGUUCCACAUUCCUCUUAGAAGUUAAGUUUCACUUGACUGAACUGGCUCAUGAGCCCAUCCCUGGACCAACCACUGUGGCUGGGAGGAGGGAGCACACUGGCCAGGCCUGGUUCUCAUGCACUCUCCUGGAGCUGUGGUUGGGGUCAGCCCCACCAGUAUCCCAUGUCCAAAGUGGGAGAGAAGAGGUGACUCCAAAGGAUACCAGGAUACUGUAGGAAGAAGAGAGGCUGGGGGCUGGGGUCAAAAAUAACAGGCAAGUCAGAGUAGACAGACAGGCAAUUGGAGUAGUGAUGAAAACGGCCAACACUAACCAAAGACUCGUUCUGUGCCUGGUCCUCCGAUGCUAAGCACUUUUCCUAGAUUAUUUCACCAUUGUUAUGUACAUUUUCCGCAUGCAGAAAACAGGGCCGGAUUGUAGGGUGUGUUAUGAAGUAGGAGGAGACAGGAAAGAAUUCUCAGGCUCGUUAUGGAAGGUUGGAAGGUGUGCUGUUAAAGCCCAGCUACCUAUGAUUGGUGCAAAAUUCAGAAAAAGAUUCUCAAUCUCCUCGAAGGGGCAGAGAAUAAUCAUGAAGUCUACCUUAAAGUACACCUAAACGUGUGUAACGGUUAAGGGAGAUGUUUGAGGUAUCUAAGGAAUCACUGCCAUCAAAUGACAGCAGGAGAAAGCUGGGAGAACCUGACCUUCCUCUCUCAGGUAGAGCCUUCCCCAGUCACUUCCCAUCACGUGAUUCCUGCUCAGUUUUUUUGGUUUUUUUUUUUUUUUUUUUCUAAGUAGUUAUAGUUGCAGUUUUACAUUUGUUGGUGCAAUUACUUGAUUCAUGUCCGUUUCCACCAAUACACUGGGCUUUCUAAGACCGCAGAUGGUCUGGGUUCACAACAGUACUUCCAGCACCUCGUGAUGCCUGGCGUGUAGAAGGCAUUCAAUAAGGAUUUGUCACAAGAGUGAAGGAGCCUCCAAGACAGUCCUUUAGUUUGAGGCUAACGGUCGGUCCCACGCAAGCACGCGCGUUAUGCCUCCCGUCGUGCGCUGGAGGCGGAGCCGUAUGGAACUACAUUUCCCAGAGGGCUCCGCGGCGGCCAGCCCCGGGAACGAACGACGUACGUCCUGUCGGGGUGCCCCCCCCCCCAUUCUCGCCCACUUAUGCCGAGGUUGCCCGUGGCAGCUGGGUCCGGCUGGGAAGUGUCGACCGGGGUCGCUCGGCGAAAGGAGACUGCCCGGGCGUCCUAGGGGGCGCUGGGGAAACACCCCUUACGCCAGGCAAAUCCCUGGCCCCGCAGAGAAGACACCGCUCCCGGCUCCCCGCUCCGUCUUCUGCGCCACCGCGGGUGAAGGGCCCCCGGUGCCGUGGUGAGGACGGAGGGACGGGGCGGGGCUCGGCGUGACCUGCUUUGUGGGUGCAGAUUAGGGCAGGGGGGUGCAGUGGUGUGAGAGAGCAGGGCCUGGAGUAGGCAGGGGUCCUGGAAACGAGGAAGAGGGGGUGGUCUCCAGACAGAUUCAGGAGGCAAAAGCAACGAUUUCGUGGGGUGAGAGCACAGAGGCAGAGAGGACUUGGACGUUUCUGGGUUGGGAGACUGGGUGGCCGGCAGCUUUGUGGAGAGAAGAUGUCUUGCCUCCUCUCGAAUCUACGGUUUUUCUAAACUUUCUAGGGAGAUAGGUUAAUCACAAGUGUGACAGUGCAGCUGUGGUAAACGCUUCAGAGAAGAGGUGUGUCAAGCGACGAGCGGGAUUUCGCCAGGCCAGGAAGCUGAGGGAGGACACUGCUGAGAGCCCAACAGUGACUUGGGAGUUUAGUGGUUGGAAACCUCUGGAAAGGGCAUAGGGCGGUGCGCUGCUGUCUCUAAUGGAGAACCUCAGGCAGGCCUCUGAUAUGUCAGCUGACUCCCUGCAUAGCAAGCUUUUCCUGCUCCAGAGAAACACAGCCAGAAACUGGAGAACCCGGAUGCCUGACCACACCCUGCAGAGAGAUAAGGUGUGACGUUUCCAGGUCCAGUCCCACCUGGUAUGAGACUGUCCCUGGAGCCAUGAGAUGGCUGCAGACUUGAGUGCCCUGGACCUCCCCAUCCCCUAGAACUAGAAAGCCUCCUGAUAAAAGAUGCCACGUGGGGGUGGGAAUCUCACCUGCAGACCCAUGAUCUUGGUCCCCAAACACUGUUGUCACUGUUGGUCGUGAAACUCUGCCACGAGGAGGUGGCUGGGCCAGGGAGGCUCUUGGUCAUCGUUGGGGAUUGUGCCAUCAGUGGCUAAGGCCAGAGAUGCCUCCCAGGGAGCGGAUCCUUAAGCUACUGGAGUGCUCGUAACCGUCCUGUCCAAGAGACCCACGUUAGGUUCAGCAUGAGCACCCAGAGGGUGACAAGAGGUGGUAAUCCUGAUGGAGGAUUUGCAGAGAGAGCCUAGGAAGCCAGGAUGCUGGGUGGGAAGGGCCAGAAGAAGCCUAGAGAGUCUCUCGUGUGAUGGCUGAUAAGCUCCUCUCCUUGGUGGGGGCGGGGGGUACCCUGAACAGAUGUUACCCCUCUGCUUCCUCUUCCCCCCAGAGGUCCUGUCCAAGGCUUCCAACAAGAAUCUGCAACAUUGAGUUCUGGGGGGGUCACCUUUACUUUGCCAGAACCACACUUUCCAGGUAUAGAAGGACAGCUCGGAGGAGAACUGAAAGCUAGACAGCAUUUUGUCUAAGCACCUGAUUUUCUCACAGGGAAACUGAGGUGUAGGCCUGUUAGAGCUCAGUAACUGGUAGCUGAACACUGGAAACGGAACCAGGGUCUUCAGGCUCUUGGCUCAGUGCCUUUUCCAUGGUCCCGAGCCGUCUCCUGGUCAAGUUGUGCUGCAGCAGCAUUGCCAGCUGUGUGAUCAGCUAACUCCUCGUGAAAAAGGAACUUGUGUGUCUCUCAGAAAGGUAUUUGUGAACACACUAAAAGCCAAUGGAACUGUAUCUACUUUAAAAGGAUGUCGCAACGUGGUGAAUGCCCUAAAAACCACUGAGCUGUAUAUACUUUAAAAGGAUGAAUUUUAUAGUAUUUGAAUUGUAUCGCAAUGUAAAAAAUAACCUUCGUAGUAAAAAAGUUGAAAUGUGUAUUUUAAAGCUGUAAUAUAUGUUUAAAUGCAGUACAGAAAAUAACAUAUCAGAGACAUGAAAAUGAUUUAUGUGACCAGCUUAAUUAUGUGCAGACCUGAUGGCAAAGCUGCUUUUGUCUUUUCUGUGCAAAAUAGUAGAGUAUCUUGUAAGAUGAACUGUUAAAACUCAGCAUUUGCAAUAAUCUGUGUGAGUUAGAAUUUGCUCAACACUGUAAAUCAAAGUGAAAAUCAAAUAAGCUGGAUGUUAAUAUAAGAAUGCAGUUCCCAACAAGAUAAAUAAACCAUAGAAAGAUG